GGAGUAGUGUAGGGACUUUGAAAGUAGAAACUAUGACUGGUAAAGAGAGACAGCUGGUUGAUGGAGAGAAAGAAGGUUGGAUAUCCAUCAGAAGAGAGAGAGAGGAAUUCUGGGGAAACUCGAACCAAGCUCUCACUACAAUAGAGACUUGAUACCGGGCCCAAUCCGCAGAUCCAGAUCAGAGUUUGUCAGGAUUUGAACCUGAAGAGAAACA